UGGGAAGACGAGUCUGACGGAGCACGCCGCGUGAGUGAUGAAGGUUUUCGGAUCGUAAAGCUCUGUUGUUAGGGAAGAACAAGUGCAAGAGUAACUGCUUGCACCUUGACGGUACCUAACCAGAAAGCCACGGCUAACUACGUGCCAGCAGCCGCGGUAAUACGUAGGUGGCAAGCGUUGUCCGGAAUUAUUGGGCGUAAAGGGCUCGCAGGCGGUUUCUUAAGUCUGAUGUGAAAGCCCCCGGCUCAACCGGGGAGGGUCAUUGGAAACUGGGAAACUUGAGUGCAGAAGAGGAGAGUGGAAUUCCACGUGUAGCGGUGAAAUGCGUAGAGAUGUGGAGGAACACCAGUGGCGAAGGCGACUCUCUGGUCUGUAACUGACGCUGAGGAGCGAAAGCGUGGGGAGCGAACAGGAUUAGAUACCCUGGUAGUCCACGCCGUAAACGAUGAGUGCUAAGUGUUAGGGGGUUUCCGCCCCUUAGUGCUGCAGCUAACGCAUUAAGCACUC
rnacentral:rRNA from 1 species